UUUUUUUCUUUUUUCUGUUUGUUUUCAGAUCAAUUCAAUUCAAAUAGCAGCACAUAUCAGCAGAUAUAUAUGAUUGGAUAGACAUAUAAAACACAACGGGAUAUCAUCCGGCACCAUCACAACAAUAUAUGCAUAAGCAUCAUCACACACAAGUCUCUAAAAGAACAUCAUCACAACCAACAUAAGCAUAAGCAUAUAGAGAAGCACACAAGUCAUCUAAAUAAUCAUCACCACACACAAGUCAUCUCAAGCAUCAUCACCACACAAGGAUCAUCGAGCACCGUGGAGGUCGUCACCGCCAAGACGGCCAAAGCCCAGGUCGUCAUUGCUAGCGGCAGCGCUACCGCCACGACCGCCUCCACCUCCGCCUCCGCCUCCGUGGAUCGGAGUGGUCGGGCUCCAUGUCUCCGGAGUGCUGUGAAGACCACCGCCAAUGGUAGAUCCACCUGUUCCCUGGAUGUUGAAAAGACAUAUGCACGGGAUAUAUGACUGUGUUGAAAGGCAUGACAUGCUUUGGGUGAAUAGAUUGGGGAUGAACUAACCGGCGAGGGGCCAGCGUUCUGUGCCACAAACUCCUCAAAGCUCAUCAGCACUGGUUGUGCUGGAGGGCAUUGUGCUGGAGGGAACUGAGGACACCUGCCGGCCGCCAUAUCUUGAAAAGCCUGCUGCAUCUGGCU
rnacentral:lncRNA from 1 species